UACAUUUGUCGAUCGUUUGAAAACGAAUUACAUAAUAAUCAUUUAAAUAAUAUUUGCAUG
rnacentral:ncRNA from 1 species